GAUUAACGCUGGCGGCGUGCAUAACACAUGCCAGUCGAACGAUGAAACUUAGUUUACUUCUUCGGAAAGACACUAAGCGGAUUAGUGGCGAACGGGUGAGUCACGCGUGAGUAACCUGCCUUACACAAGGGGAUAGCCUUUGGACACGAAGAAUAAUACCCUAUAAAACCAUACAAGCACAUGCUAGAAUGGUCAAAGUGAUAGCGGUGUAAGAUGGACUUGCGUCUGAUUAGCUUGUUGGUGAGAUAAAAGGUCACCAAGGCAACGAGCAGUAGCCGGCUCGGGAGCGUGUACGACCACAUUGGGAGUGGGACCAGGCCCAGACUCUGACGAGAGGGAGCAAGGGGGAAUUAUGCACAAUGGGGGAAACCCUGAUGCAGCGACGCCGCGUGAUUGAGAAGGCCUUCGGGUUGUAAAGAUCUUUUGUAUAGGAAGAAAAUGACAGUACUAUACGAAUAAGGACCGGCUAAUUACGUG
rnacentral:rRNA from 1 species